rnacentral:lncRNA from 1 species
CCAGGACAAUGUUUCUCACUUCUCAUCCAUCCAGAGAUCCAUCUACCGAAUGAAAGGUUCUCCAUCUUCCUCCUGGCAGAUGGCAUCCACAUGAGCAACUUCCUCCCAUGGGCGGCCAUCUGGCAGAAGACCCAAACUUGAACGGGCACAAUGGCUCAGGGCCGUAAUUCCAGCACUUUGGGAAGCCGAGGCAAACGGAUCACUUGAGGUCAGGAGUUCGAGACCAGCCUGGCCAACAAGGUGAAACCCCCUUCUCUACUAAUGCCACUGCACUCCAGCCUGUACAACAGAGCGAGACCCUGUCUCCAAAAACAAAACAAAACAAACAAACAAAAAAACUUGAUCCUUGUGGAGCAUUUCAGCAGACAUUUAAUCACCAGAAAGCUAGCGACCUCCUAGGGAGAAGAAUGAUAUGGAGAAAAG